UACGGGGGGGGCAAGCGUUGUUCGGAAUUACUGGGCGUAAAGGGCGCGUAGGCGGCCUUCUAAGUCGGACGUGAAAUCCCUCGGCUUAACCGAGGAACUGCGUCCGAUACUGAAAGGCUUGAAUCCGGGAGAGGGGUGUGGAAUUCCAGGUGUAGCGGUGAAAUGCGUAGAUAUCUGGAGGAACACCGGUGGCGAAGGCGGCAUCCUGGACCGGCAUUGACGCUGAGGCGCGAAAGCUAGGGGAGCAAACGGG
rnacentral:rRNA from 1 species